AUUGAACGCUGGCGGCAGGCCUAACACAUGCAAGUCGAACGAGUGGCGGACGGGAGAGCAAUGUCUGGGAAACUGCCUGAUGGAGGGGGACAACUACCGGAAACGGUAGCUAAUACCGCCUACCAUCGGAUGUGCCCAGAGGGGAUGAGCUAGUAGGUGGGGUAACGGCUCACCUAGGCGACUAUCCCUAGCUGGUCUGCGAGGAUGACCAGCCACACUGGAACUGAGACACGGUCCAGACUCCUACGGGAGGCAGCAGUGGGGAAUAGUGGAGAAUGGGCGAAAGCCUGAUGCAGCCAUGCCGCGUGUGUGAAGAAGGCCUUCGGGUUGUAAAGUACUUUCAGCGGGGAGGCGUUACCGACAGAAGAAGCACCGGCUAACUCCGUGCCAGCAGCCGCGGUAAUAC
rnacentral:rRNA from 1 species